rnacentral:lncRNA from 1 species
UGGAAUUCAAAGGUUUUGAUGCAACCAAGUACCCCAUUGAUUUGGAGUAUUGUUUUCAUUUAGAAGCAACAGAUCGUGUUGUUCGACAACAAUUCAUAGUAGACUGCCCAAAAGAUCCACUAAAAGCAAGUUUGGUUCAUGAGAUUGAGGUAUGAGAGGAGCCACGCGUGCUCGAAAUGAUGAACUCGUUGGAAACCAAGGUCGUCCCAAGCACCUUUGCCGCACCAACCCUCACUUUGAAGAGAUACUUGGAAACAAAUUUCAACCAACAAAAGGAGACCUUGGCUCUCCAUGAUCCCGGGUGAUCAUCAUUCCAAAAGUCGGGCUAGGCACUAUAAACCAAGUACUUGUUGGGAGGCUGCCUAGCUAGGUACCUUCAUCUUUUCAAUUUUUUUCUUUAUUUUCCAUCCCUUUAUGCCUUUACUAAUCGUUACAUGCAUCUACUUUGAACAUUGAGUACAAUGCUUAGUUUAGGUUUGGGGGUGUGGAAUUUUUUUUUUAUUUAUUGAUUUU